GGCACUUGGUAAUGCCAGCCUGAUUUAUGACAUCGCAUUAGGUACUGGAGGGAGGCUUGGGAAGCUGAUCCUCCAUGAACAAAGUGGAAGAAGACAGUGAAGUAUCUGGAUGAGUGUUGAACUCCCCUGUGCUUACAGGCUGGUGGCAUCUAGAAAAACUUGGAUCAUGAGAAUAUACGCUUUCUCUCCAGUCUCCCAACUCUGACGUUUGGCUUAAAUAUGUUCAAUUCAGGAAGCCAUGUGGUGAUGCGUCCUAUGAAACUGUCGCUCCCCAAACAGCACAGACAAUGAGUUUUAUGAGGCAGCUUUCCUUGCUUUCUCAGCAAAUGUCCAUCGGAGGGCUCCUGUUUCUCCGCAAGGUGUCAGGACGGGACUCAAAUCAUCGAAUCAGGAAGUUGGCACUAAGAGGCAGUACCGACAGAGGAGAUUUUGGAAAAUGACUCAUCUGGAAUUUGCUGGAGGAGCCUGAAGUUGGUGGAACUUCAGCCUUGGGGAGAAAAAGAGGAGGGGUGUGUGUGUGUGUGUGUGUGUGUGUGUGUGUGUGUGUGUGUGAUUUAUGUCCGUAAGUGCUGUUCUGUCCCUGAAGCAUCUAGAAAGCAUUUCUCAGGGAGCAAGGGCAUAGUAUGACUGGGUCUGGUUCUA
rnacentral:lncRNA from 1 species